UUUGCAUGGAAACCCAUCUGGAGGCAGAUGCUCUCGGUGGACUCACACAGCAUAUGGGCAGAUCGCACCUGCCUUGGGGGGACAUGGCCUCCGAUUAGAGAGGCAACGGCUGGGGUUUGAAGAUGUCAGUUAAAAACAAAAACUUUCUUUAAAAAGUACCAGUUUAAAUGUAAACUAUGAAACACGUGAACUAUAAAAUGUAGCCAGAAAGAUGCUGAAGUAUCCACAGUCAAUUACUGAAAAUGUGACUCUCUGGAGAUCUUAGAAGGCUCAGAGCAUUUGACAGUAGCUAAAAACAUAUAUCCUUAACAUGUGCUUUUGAAAAUCACAUUUGAUUACAAGACAGAGAAUAAUCUCUUCCUUGGUUUAAUUUUUGUGGUAAAGAUGAGCUAUUUUCAGAAUUCACUUAAGCAACGAUGACCAGCGUAUGAGUGAAUUGUUAUUUUCAGCCCAUGCAGAGUUCCUAAGUCUUUUAAAUCCCAAGAUCAAGCUGGCUACAUGAUUUCAAAAAAGCCUAAAACCAGGAUGAAUGCCCACAUUUGAGGUAAUUAUUGCCAUCAGGUCACAGUUUGUGUAAGAUAAUGUAUCUAAAACCUUCUUUAGAUAGAUCUUUAGGUGCUCUGUCAGAAUUCCAGAAUACCUAUUGAAACCAACCAAUUCUGAUUAGUUGGGUUUGCUUCCAAUGGAAUUAAAGUUCUAGAAGGUUCUAGAACUUGUGUAAACUACCUAAGCAUUUAGGCAAACAAGCCUGGAGCCAGUCAAUAAAGAAGUUUCUGAAAUUAAAAAGAAAACAAAAAACCCACCCAAAACAACUGAGAUGUUUCUUAAAGCAAGAAUAGUUUCCUAAAAAAUUAAAAAUCUAAAGUAUUUCUAAAUUCUUGCCACCUUUCAACCAACAUAAAAAUGCUUCUGUAUUAUCCUGAAAGUUGCCUAGUUUUUCUCAGUUUACAAAACCGCUACCUUCCGUCUGAGGUUAUCUCAAAAGACAACCUUAUUUUGUUCCUCUUUCUAAAAGUCAUCUUGUCUUUCUCCUCCUUUUUUUGUUUUUGUUUUUGUUUUUUUUUUUACACAAAGAAAACAGUUCCUGGACACCAGACCCACACACAAUAUUUACAAAUUUGGUGUGAAUCCCGCACCUGGGUCUACCCAGAGCCGAAAGAGUAGAUGAUGACAGAGACCAGAAGUGUCAUGAUAUUUCUCAGUGCAGUAAAAAAUAGCAUUUUGAAAAAAAUAUAUACCUUUAGUAUUGCCUUUAUAGAAUUAACUACAAGCAAGAAAAAAAUUAUUUUUUUUUUAAAGAAGAAAAGAACACUUUUUUCCCUCCCUCUUACAAGAGUUAGUUGUAGCAGCACUACGAAAGCUAGCUGGUACACUGGAAAGGAAGAGCCAAAAGAAACACGCUUAAGAGUUUUCUC
rnacentral:lncRNA from 1 species